AUAUAUAUGUCUUUGUGUUCGAGUCUCUUAUCAGUUUUUUGCAGGAAAUCACGGUCAGGCCUAACAUCAACUGAAGUCUCCAGGAAGAAGGUGGGGCCCCACAACAACAAUUCUACAUGGACAAUAAUAAUGUCAUUAAGCUGACAAACAUCAUCUACAGAUCAGCUUUGAACUACAAAGUGCUCAGAGCAAUUUUGAGAUGACUAGCUGAGAUGAUCCAGUCUCAAAGACUACUUGAAUAAGGAUUUGAGAUAAACCCUGAACUUUGGCAUUAUACACAGACUUGAUAAUGAAGGAUAUAGUUGCCUUUCCUAGAAUUUGACAAUUAACCUAAAAUUUUUCUUUCAGGAUAAAGAUAACUUUGCCCAUACCCAGCAGGAAGCAAUUUUAAGAAUACAACGCCCACAUUCCCAAAGAGGUGGUAUGGGGCGGGUGGUUUUUUGGUCUUUUAAUGGGUUUUGGGUCUGGGAUAAUUUUCAUUGUUUAGGGGGGUUGGUUACAAGUUGUUGUCAAGGGUUAGGAGAAAGGCUAAGCAAAGGAGAUUAGAUUUAAGGUUCUUGUUUAAAAAAAAAAAGAAAAGAAAAAGACAAUUACUAGUUUUAAAUACUUUACAUUGGAUUGUAUUGUUUUAUAUUGUAUACAAAUUAUAUAUAUUGAUAUUGAUAUUGUUAGAAAAUGCUAUGUGUAUAUUUCCAAUUGUACUUAUACCAUUCAUUUAACAAUGUAAUGCAAAUUUCUGAUCCUUGAAUGUUAUUAUUACCAACUAUUAGGAUAUAAAGAAAUGAAAGUUAGUAGUUAGACAUUACAAUAGAACGUGUAGUCAUAUUAGAUUGUUUUAAAAAUUGAGCAGAUAUAUUUUAGAUAGAUAGGUCAUCUUCAAACCCUUCAGAGAUCUACAGAAUAUGGCAUUUUAAAUAUUUUAAUAACUUAGAAAAUUUUUCUUUUUUGUUAUGACUAUGAGACAUGUCGGCUCCUGGCAGUACCAAUCUACUUCAGAGAAAAUAUGGGCAUUGAAAAAACUGUAUAUGGAGUUAACUUUCAUUGUGGCAAAAGUUAGUCACUGGACAACAAAGUAUCCUCGAAUCAACAGGACAAAAUGGACAGACAGGACAUGAAGCAAAGGACUACCGAUUCUUGCCAAAACAAGUGUGGUUAUGGCUUUAUCAAAAGGCAUUUUCUGAGGCCAGGACAAUAUGGCACCUUCCCUGAAGUGGCCUUCGCAAUCUGGAAAAGGUACAGUGCCCUUUUCUUCGAAGGCAGCUGAAUAGGCAGUGGGCUGAUGGCUUCUGAUGUGCAAUGGAACGGCAGCUGAAACAGUUAUUCUUGAAGAGUAACUAAGCUCACGCCUCUCAAUAGUAGACUGGCAUUUAAUAGAGGGAUGUGGAGAAGAAUGGGAUGCUAAGAUGAAGCCAUAUAUAUACAGCCAAGAAGGAUGGAUAGCUGAAUUCAAAAACCAUCAACAAUUUCCAGAAUUUAAAAUCCUGAAUCAUGACAUGACACUAGUGGAAUUCAGGUGUUUCUGGUACAUGGACUGCUCUCACCCAAUGUGAGGUCCAACUAGUGACCUUGUGUAUAUCCUGCUUCACAAAUAAGUCUGUCAGAUAUGCCAAUCCUAUAGGCUGAAGAUGAUGCCCGAACACUGCGGAGAAACCUCAGGUGACUGUGCAGGCAGCUGUCUGUUUCUGUCAACUCACAAAUUUUUUGGAAGUUGCUUGCAUGCACUUCCUGUUUUUAUUUUUGUUAGCUAAUAUUAUUUCCUUCUUGGGUCUCUGAGGGAGUUGAAGAUUAGUUAUUUAUAGUUGAAGUUUGGUUAGUUAUAGUUGAAGACUAGUUAGGAUAUAGAAAGUGAAUUAGGUACAUUUUGGACUUACCAAAAUUGGAUAGAUAAUGGAAUUAUUUUCUCUGAAUUUGUCAAAUACAAAUGGACUAGACAUUGUUUAGGUAUUUAUUACUUGUAUAUAUUUGUCUAUAGUUAUUGUACUUUUGUAUAUAGUUUUUUAUGUUAGUUAUAACCUUUUUCCUUUUUUCUUUUUAUUAAAAUAGAAAAGGGGAAAUAUGGUGGUAUUUUAUUUGUACUGAAAUGUGAUUUUAAUUGUAUAUUAAUAAAUAUAGUUGCCUGGGGGGUCAGAGCUAUUAGAGCCAUAGCAAAAGCUGGCCGUUGGUGGAGCACACCUUUAAUCCCAACACUCAGGAGUCAGAGGCAGGCAGAUCUCUGUGUGGUCAAGGAUACAGCCAGCAUUGGAGACACACGCCUUUAAUCUCAAUACCAUAGAAGACUUGGAGGGCUGUACAACAGACGAGGCAGUCAUGUGGUUGGUUUUACAACCAAUGAGAAGGCAGAACAGAAACUCUAUAUAAAGACAAACAGACAGGAACUAGCUAUCUUUCGGAGAGGUCUCUUGGCUUAAGAGGCUAGCUGUAGCAGGCGGGUAAGGCUCUUAGCUCUGAUCUCUUGGCUUUCUUCUUUGCAUUGGUUCUGUGUUUCUUAUUUAAUAAGAUGGUUGGUUACAUCUACAGAAGACAUAUUAAUUCUAGAACAUCUGUCCCUCCAGCCAUUAAGAAAAUGUUUCUGAGACAAGUUCUCUUAUGUUGACUCUGGUGGCCUUGAUCCCAGUCUGUUGCUUCCCAGGGCAAUGCCUUUACUGUCCUCUUGAUUAAUCCAACUAAAUUCUUAAAGGGCUGUACCCUCACUGAGUUUUAAAAUUACCUUUUUGAGUCCUGUAGUUAACUAUCCAUUGCAGUCACUGGAAAAGGGUUUACAUGUGGAGCAUGUCUUCUGCAUUCAGAGCAGUAUAGGAAGAAUAAUUUCUUGUGUGUAGUACAGGGAAAAAAGAAUAAGCAGUCAGCUGCUGGAGUUACCAUUAUAAAAUUGGACCUGAUUGUGGCAGGGUUAGUCAUUUAUAAUUUCCCACCAUGUACUAUUUCUUCUGUAGCUCAGCCUUUCCUCACACUAUAUAAUUAAGAAUUGUUUUGGCCAUUUAACCCCGACUCUGGGCUGCGAAGACAGUCCUGCCACUCCUUCUAGUCUGGGCCAUGAUUGGUUAGUGAGAAGGAAAAAGAGACCAGUGAAUGAAAAUCCUCCAAUCUCUCUGGCUUUUAUUGGGAACUUACAAAUGAAGACAGAUUUGUGCAAUAAUUGAGUUCACUGACCAACUUUAAUCAGGUAUAGUCACAACACAGAAAUGGAUGGGCAAGAAGAGGGUGAAAGCUUUCCUGCUGUGACAGUAGUUGACAUUGGUGAUGAGUACUGAAGUAAUCAAUGUUAGAUGGUCAAUAAGUUUCCUGACUGCCCACAGACCAGGCAAUUAUGAAUCUGGAUAAAGAACUGAACUUUCAUGAAACCAAAUUACAGUAGUUUCUCUAGUUCAACCAAAAUAGAAGAUCUAGAUAAAAUGGUGUGACCCUGUCUAACAGGACUGUUGUUUUCCAGGUUUAAGAUGUUCAGCCUGAGAGAAAAGGUGUGAGUAAACCUUGGUGUGUUCUAUUACAAAUCUCUAGUCUCUGGAGCACAUGGCCAUAACGCCUGUUUCAAUUUCUUAUUUUUGGAGGGAUUUUAAUUAUAUCAUUUCCACUGUCCAUUUCCCACCUCCAAGCUCAAGUGUGUCAGUCAUUCCAGUCAGGGCCUUGACUGCUCAGCAAGAAGGCAAAAGAGACAGAAGAAUGAGCAUCCUAGUGCAUCCCAGGUUUUUAUUGUGGAGUGGCAAUGCGGAGUUGCUUGUGUAAGAAUGGAAAUUCAUUGUUCACACAUUACAAGCUGUUAUGGUCAUGGUACAGAAAGGAAGAUGUGGGAAGGACCCUUAAAAUAUUCCAGUUUUGUCUGCAGUUUGGGUUUCCAAUGUGCUAUCUGUUAACCAAUUAUAGGUGACUGAUAAAUGUCCUGAGUGGCCAUUUUUUGGGCUCCACAGACUAGGUUCCUUGGCCAGAAGAUUGACCUAUCCCUAUUGAAAGGUUAGGUCUUUACCUGGCACAGAGAUUUUAUUCUCUAGACCAAGGACCGUUUUCUCAUAAUUGGCCUUCAUUACCACUUUUAACUUACCUGCUUCCUAAGUCCCCCAGAAUCACAUAGCAUCAGAGACCCGAGCUCCCAAAAUCACUUUUGGUAUCUUUGGCCUCUGUCAAGGAUGAAACUGGUAAGAGUCCCAUGACAUUCCUGGCUUUUAGUCAAGAAAGCAACUAGUUUCUUUUCUUUGGGGGUUUUUAUCCUAAACUGCCUAGUUGAUUUCUACCUCCAGUUCUUAUUUAACCUCCUCUGAAGAGGUAAUCCUAACUGCUGUGAUGGGAUUGGAGCAAUGACUGAUCUGACUUCUUCCAGCUGAAUUUGGGAUACCAGGUGGCAGUAUUGGGAUACCUUUCCAGAGGUCCUCAUGUAAAGAUGAAAUGCUUGGAAAUAGACAGGAAAGGAAUUCUUUUCCUGGUGUCUGGUAAGGACUAAAAUGUACAAAGUCAACAAGACAUUAUUGAUGGGAUUAUAGUAUCCCCCAACUAAUAGAUGCUUCCCUUUGACCUCUACAGUUGGUCUCCAGAGUGAUGAACCCAAAAUUAUCUUUCACACCUCUUCAUGGCUGUUUCAUCACCCCAAAGUCAGCAUGAUGCCCUUCCCAUGUGGCUUCUGGAUAGGGAGAGAAGAGUUAUUUAGCAUCAUUUAAUUUGGGGGUUAAAAAAAAAAAACUAUGAACUUGUUUUCCUUGGAUGUGGGCAGGUGUUCACUGAUCUAAGAUCUGAUUUCUCAAAUCUGGGCAACAUCUUUUUGUGAAGAAGAAAAUAUCAGUGAGUUUGGUUGUCUAAAUAACAUUUCAUGUACACUUAUAUCUAAUAUCUCUGGAGUGUGAUCCCUUGGGUUGUGACCAAUUCUUAGUCUUUGCUUAAACUUUCCUGCUGAGUGUUGAAGACUAUGCAGGUAGCUAAAAUUAAUCUUUCUUUCUUUGCUGUCAAGGCCAGUUGAACAACUAGUCUUCAGGGGUCACUUGGAUUUGAGAAGAACCUCAGACUCUUCUAGCCAUUCUUUUACUAGUUGUCCAUCAAUGUGAGGAUAAAUCAAAGUCUUUGCUCUUUGUGCUGUGGCUUCCUUUGAAGCCUUGAGUAAAUCUUUCCCACAUUUGGUUCUCCUUUUUGUAGACUGGAAAAUGUUUCAAAUUCAUUAAGUGGUGUCUCCAUGGUCUCCAUGAAUAAGACAAGCGAUCAAUGACCUUAGUCCCCAGAGAUCUCAUUGACCUUGUAGGGAAAGGGGAGAAAUAUUCCCCCUUUUAGUCUCUCUAAACAUAUCAGCAUAGCCUCCAAGAAUGAUUAUGAAACACUCAGGAGAUCAGUUUUACACCAUUUUGGUACUUUUAACUACUGUGUACUAUUUCAGUAGCCAAACAUAACUCAAUAAGCUUUUUUUGACACACAUUUCAGCCAGUCCUUGAAACAGUUGAUAUCUGACCUUGCCAACUUUAAUACAAUAUAUGAUUUCUAAAUUUCAACCUUUAUGUACUUUAAACAACUUACUCAGACCUUCAUAAGUUUGCAAAGCUUUUCCAUCUUUUUUACUCCAGAGCUAUGCAGUCAUUAUCAUCUUCAUAUAUCUAAGUCCUUUUCUAAGGUCAUUUCCAUGUUUACACCCUCCUAACAUGCUUUAUGUACCAGUUCCUUUUUCUAAUUCUGUGAGACAUAGGAACAUUAACAAAUAUAUUUAUGAUCUGUUGUAAGAAUUUUCUCGCUGGUAGGGGUGGACAAGGCAAUGUCUAUCUCAUCCCCAUAAGUCCCAGUGAAAAUGAAAAUACAGUUUUACUGAAGUCCACCCUGGGGAACCAAUUAGAUCAUUGAGCUUACUUACUGAACAUGGUUGAGGAGAUACAAGAGUUUGGAUACUGUGAUCGUUUUAAUAAAAAUGGCCUCCAUAGUCCCAUAUGGAGUGGCACUAAUAGGAGGUAUGGCAUUGUUGGAGUAGGUGUGGCCUUUUUGGAGGAAGAGUGACAGAGUCACUACUUGCUGCCUACCAAUCUGGAUGUAGAACUUUCAGUUCUUUUUCCAGCACUAUGUCUGCCUGCAUGCCACCAUGCUUCCUGCCAUGAUGAUAUGGGCUAAACCCUCUGAAAAGGUAAUCUAGCCCCAAUGAAAUGUUUUCCUUUAUAAGAGUUGCUGAAAUCAUGGUGUAUCUUCACAGCAACAGAUACUCUAAGUUACCCAAAAGCAGCCACACAGGAAUGUCUCCACCCAGUAUGUACUAUGACUCUCCCAUAGCUGCAUAUGUGGAACUCAUCUUCUCUCUGCCCAUAUACUCUAGCAUUACAUUACAUUUCUUAGUGUACAAAGGAGAUAAAUCUGAUAGCACUCAAGGUAAAUUCCUUUUUAAGAUGACUUUCUCAUAGGUGCAAAUGCAGAAACCACCUCCUCCCAAGUAUUUCCAGGCUAUGUACUCUAGCUCCUCCCCCAAACCACAUGAUCAAAUGUCAUUAGAGUUGAAUUGUAUGCAGUUGGUUGGGAAAGAGGCUGUACACUCAGAAGGAGGGGAUAUCUCCUUCUAUGAUGGAAUAUUAAUAGUCAGCAAACCUGGUGGUGGCCAUCCUCUGUAAGCAGGCACAGCUGAUCGUAGGAAGGUGCCAAUUGUUUGUCUUAAGAUAGUGCUGAGCAACAAGAACUAAAUAAAAGACAGCUGAAUUAGAAACUGUGUAUAAGAUAAUGAAAUAAAUUACUAUUUUCUAGGUACAAUCUGAUAAAGUAAACCUUAGAGAAAACACAAGACAGUCUUCAUAUAAUAUAUGGCAUCACUACUAUAACCAUGCUUUUGGUUUUAGUGGGUGUAUGUUGGCAAUACAAAGAAAUAGCAAAUACAUAAUGAGACAUCAAUGAUUUGAUGUGUACAGUCGCCAAUACAACAUAACUAAAAAUCCCUCUUAAAACUAUGAUGCCCCAGUUUACUAUAGAGAGAUCUUUACACAGAGGAUCUCUCUGUCUAGUCCAUAGAUCAGCAUCCCAUUACCUGUUUUGAUUACAGACAUGUGACCAAUAACAGUACAAUAACCAAUACAUAAAAGGUGAAUGAAAGUUUCUAUCCUAGCAUCCUAAUCUCUAACAGCCCUGGUUAACAUACUACUUAUCUUCGGGUUAUUUUAGAGGCAGGGCUCCUUUAGCUAAAUUCUACUUUGUGUGACUAUCUCUUACACAUUGGUAAAUCCUUUAUAUUACCAAUUAUACUCUUCUACAUCACUGCUUAGCAAUUGGUGCUACCCAGUAUAUGAGAUGUCAUUAUAACCUCCACAAAAUUAACUCCAAAUGAAUGUUACAUCUAAAUGUCAAAUUUAAAGUGCAGAACUUCUAGAAGACACUUGAAACUAGGCCUCUUUGAGUUUGCAACCUCCCUAGGCCAUGGAAGGUUUUUCCAAGACCCCGAUGUAUUGAGAAAGAAACAGAGCUCCUUCUCUAAAAUCUGGAAUAUGCUUGGGAGAACUGGUAAAGGUCUGGGGCCAGGGUAUUUGGGGAGGGGUGGCUUAAGAUCCUGAGAACCCACCUCCUUCUACAAAUGGGGCUGUGGUUUUUAGUCCCAAGGCCACUGUGGACUUUGUUUAUAAUGUCCUUGAGUGACCCUGUGUUCCUCUUGUGCAAAAUUGUCUAAUUAGCCUCGUUCUGAAUUUGUAUACUUCUUUUUAAAACUGAACCCAUUGGUUCACAUUAACGAGAGACUUGCAGUUGAAUUUGGCACAAAUCUUCAGCCAACUCAGGAUAGUCUGUCCUUACAUUGGAAGUCAGGGCUGGGAACUACUGUGCUUUGUCCUGUCAGCUCGCUGGUUCUGUCACUCAGUCUUCACUAUCCAAUCAGAGCCUCCAGUGGACCCGGCAGUCAAAUGGGAAGGUACUUCCGGGAGCAAGGCUUCUAGCUCACAGCUCCUCUCUUGUGGAAGUCGGAAAUUGUCGUGUGUGUUGUGCCUAGGCCUCCAUCGUGGGGAGAGCGUGGGUCAUCUCAGCAGCUGCAUCUUGGUGAGGGAGGGCCAGCUCUCCACAGAUAGGGAGGAGUGGCUGGCCUUUGUUAGUGAUAGGCCACUGUCCUCAGGCGGGGAGGAGUCGCUGGGAAUGAUUACAGGUCUGCAGCACCAAAGAGUUCUACAGUUACCAAUUUGAGUGACAUAGUAGACUGUCCAUUGCAGUAACAGAAAACGAAUUUAUGUGUGGAGCAUGGCUUCUCCCUUCAGACCAGAAGAAGAGGAACAGUGUACUCUGUACACUGCAGGGGAAAACAGACUAGACAAUAGCUUGAUCACAGACUGAAGUUGAAAGCAGUGAGCUGCAGGGGUCUCCAUUAGAAAGAAGGACUGAUGGGGCAGGUGAGACAUGUCUGCUCCUGGCAGCACCAAUUUACUUCAGAGAGGAGGAUGAGCAUUGAAGAUACUUCGUAUGGAGUUUAUCUUCUUCUUGGAAAAAUAGCCGUUUGGGUAAGAAACUGUUCUUGACUGGACUGCUUGAAAAAAUGUAUCAACUGGACAUGCAAGACCCAUAGGAAGGUGGCCACUGAACUUUGCUUGGCAAAAUGGUCCUUCCUUCAGGUUCCUGCUAUGCAGAGGAAACUGCCAGACAUUCUACAGGAUACAGAGCGAAGUGACUGAGAGAAUCUAGGCCUGUGGGCUGAAGACAGAAGCCCCAACUUUACAGAAGAACUUUGGAUGACUGUCUAGGCUGCCAGUUUUCUCUGUCUACUCUCGCAAGACUCCCAAAAGUUGCUUGUGUCCUUCUACCAUUUCUCAGGUAAUAUUAUAUCCUUCUGAGAUCUUUGAUGUGGUUGAAGACUAGAUAGCUAUAAUUUUCCUUAGUUAUGAUAAAAGAUAAGUUAGAUAUGAAACCUUAGAUUCACAAAUAUAGGAUAGAUUAGAUAUCUUCUUUAAUUUUGCCAAAUACAAAUAGACUAGAUAUUAUAAAUAGAGUAGAUAUUGUAACUAUAAUUCUUGCUUGAUAAUUGUUUUGUUAUAUGUAAUUUUACUAUGUUAAAGUUAAAAACCUUUGUUUUUGAAAAAAAAGAAAAGGGGAAGUACUGUGGGAUGUUCUAUAUGCUGUGAAAAUGUGUUGCUUUGAUUGAUAAAUAAAACGCUGAUUGGCCAGUAGCCAGGCAGGAAGUAUACUAUAGGUGGGACAAGCAGAGAGGAGAAGUCUAGGAAGUGUUAGGUUGAGUCAGGAGACGCGGCCAGUCACCUCAAGGAGAAAGAAGAUGUAAGGAUACUGGUAAGCCAUGUGCCACAUGGCAAGGUACAGACUUAUAGAAAUGGGUUAAUUAAAGAUAGAGGAAAUAGAUAACAACAAGCCUACCAUGGCCAUACAGUUUAUAAGUAAUAUAAGCAUCUGAGUGGUUAUUUUAUAAAUGGGCUGCGGAACUGCGGGGGCUUGGCGGGACCUGGAGAGAAACUCUCCAGCUACACUGAAGAUUCUUUCAGAGAACCCAGAUUCCAUUUCCACUACAUAUAGGAGCUCACUACUAUCUGAAAUUGCAGUUCCAAGGGUUCUGAAACCAUCUCCUGGCCUCCCUGGUCACUAAGCAUGAAUGGAUUACAAAGACAUGCAUGCAAGAAAAACACCAUGAACAUAAAAUAAUGACUGGAAUUAGAUUUGUAAAAAACAAAUAAAAUAAAAAAGCAACAACAACAAAAAACAUAAAAGACAACUUGCACCAUAAAACUUAAUUUUCAAAGUAUAUGUGGUAGUGUAUUCUUACAAUAUCAACACUCCAGACACAAAGGCAGGAAGAUCAUUGUGAGUUUUAAAGCAUGUGCUACAUAAUCAAUGCCCGAACACACAUGCUUGUGCUCAUUGGAAAAAAAGAACAAAACUAAAUAACAUACAAAAAUGGAGCAUUGGAAAAUUGUGACAACACAAUACCUCUUAAAGUCAUUUCAUGUGUCUGCCACUUGUACUCAUACAAUAAAUAUUGUCAAGCAUGGUAGCAAAUGCCAUUAUACCCAGCUAUAGGAAGGAAAAGGCAGGUAGAUAACAAUUUGACAAUAUGCUCUUUGAUAUAGUCACUUCCAAAGUAAUGCCCAUCUUAAAAAGACCUAAUUUUGAUUUGUUCUCCUGGUUUAAGACAGGGCCUUAUUUAUAAUCCCACAUGACCUUGAUUCAAAAUAUACCACACUACAUAAUACAUAUUAUGUCUUUAAUAAAUACUAAUAUAUACUUAAUUCUUAAAUGUGUCUCUCCCUCAUAAGACCACACUUUCCCAACAUCCUUUAUUUCUACUAACAUUUAUACGAAAUUCACAAUAAACAUGUAUUUUUUUUUUUAGUCAGGCGUGGUGGCAAUGGUACAUACCAUUACUCCAAGAUUUGAGAGGCAGUUGUAGCUCUGUAAACUCCAGGCCUAGAUUACGUAAUUCAUAGUGAAUUCUAGGCCAGACAGGUUUAGAAAAUGAGACUGUGUCCCAAUCCAAAAGUCUUAACUUAAUAAAGUUCUAGGGUGAGAAGAUGGGUUAGCAGAUAAAGUCCUCACCUUGGAAGUAAGAACCUGAGUUAUCCCUUUACAUCUGCAUUAGAAAGCCAGUUGCAAUGGUGUGUGCUUAUAAUUCAAUGCUUUUAAGGCAAGAUAGGAGACAGAGAGGAGAAAGCCUGCAAGGAUAUGGGUAUAUGAUAUAAAUCUAGAGAAUGUCUCAAACAUGAUGAAGGGAAAGGACCAACAACCAAGGUAGUUCUCUGAUUUUUACACCCAUACUACAACACCCAUGCAUACCUUCCCAUACAUAAAUGAGCACAAACAUACAGUCAUAAGUAAAUUAUUAAUAAAAUACAAGUGGAUGAAGUGGCACACUCUUUUUAUUCUAAUAUUUGGGAAGCAGAGGUAGGAAGAUUUCUAUGAGUUUGAGGCCAGCCUCAUCUACAUUUUGAGUUCCUGGAAAGCCAAAGAUACAUAGACAGACCCUAUCUCAAAAUAAAUAAAAUUCCAACUGUGAUUUGUAUUGACUCAUGCUGAUUAUACCUGCCUGCGAAAAAGCAUAUUUGAGAAAACCCUCCUAGAAGUGGAAAGGAAUCCCUUUUGAUACUAAAAAAUUGAGUUUUCUCUCAACAGUGUUGAGGAAGUGGCAGAACACUGGUGGUGAAUCUAGCCUCAAGCAGAGUACACAUGACUCAAUGGAAAGUGUGCCUGUGCAAGCCAUAGAACGGAGAGGGGACAUGAGAGUUGAGGCUAAUCCUUUGUUCUUUUUCCAUGGUAAAUCUUAGACUAUACUGAGGAAGAGUUUCUUCAUGAUGACUGCAUUAUUCUUUUUCAGUUCCCCCUGUGGUACAGGUCAUAGUAAAAUAUUAUAAGAACUCAGCUGGUUAUAGCAAAGCCACUACCUGAAGGGAUCAAGGAAUUCCUUCAGAAGAAGUUAAAUUCCAAGGAGCUUUUGGUGUUAUUUGGCUUGUUAUAUAUCAGCUGUCUUCUGUUAUGAAAAUCAUGUGUGCCUUCAUAGUUUUCCCAAAUGAUUUUUCCCUAAGAAGUGCUAACAGUGUGGACUGAUCACUCUCUGGACAUAUACAUUCAAGGUAUUUGGAGAAUAGCUUCAGGAAAGGCUUCCUUCCCCCCAGUCCAUCCAUUUCUCUCCUUUCAGCACUGGAAUCAGUUAUCUCCCUUAGCCACUUUCAAGGAGUAACAGAAAUAACAAGUCCAGACCACCACAUGCUAGUCUCCUCAUUUAAGGUAGAUUCCACAAGGAGACACUGCCUAGGCCAGGUGAACCUUAAAUAAUAGCUUUACACAAUUUAGCUCGGACCCUCCUUCCUUAUAGCCUUACUAACUUUAUAGACCCCUAACUUCUUACCUAACCAUUUUUCAGGACGUACACUGAGCACAUAGAUCCCCUUUUUGAUAUACUAACCAGUCAUUAACACUUAGUUGACCUCUUUUACCACUCCCAUUUUGGAUUGUAAAAGAAAGCCUGGUGGUCACUGCCUGAGGGAAAUUCUGACCUAUCUUUAUGACCCCAUAGAAUUCAAGCCUUAUGACCUUCUUCUACCAGGGGAUUGCUGUUGCUUUGGGAGAAAUAUGGAGAACUUAGAGAUGGAGAAUGGAGAGAGAGAAGGAGGAUUUUGAUUAAAGAGAAUGUGUGGAUGAGAUAGAUGGAAGAUGAGGAAGAGUCAGAUGGGGAAGUACUAGCUGGGUAAGAACAAGAUGAAAAGGACCUAGAUGAGGCAGAAUCAAGACAAAAGAAUUAAGAUAGAACUUAGAGGAAGCAGUAGAUAAAUAUAGAGAGAAAUCAGGCAAGAAAGGAGCUAGGCACAAGAACAGAACUGAAGCUGUGUAAAUAGGAUGAUGUUAUCUCAGAGGAAUUAAAGCAAAUAGGCUCAGUGUGCUGAGAUUCUACUUCCCCAAAAUAGUCCUCGCCGUUCAUAAUUUUUUCUCCUAAGGCCCUGGGACGUAUAAUAUUAAGGCUGGUCUCUGAUAUAUUAUACAAGACCCAUGAACAAAUCUGACUUCUGAGAUUGGAGGUGAGUCAGAGAGUAAAUUUUUUGGGGAAAUGACACCAUGGGUCCUGAGACAGGUACUGACACAGCAGGGCUUUUUAGAGCUCAGCAGCCAGAGAAGCAGGGCAAAGGUUUUUUUCUGGUCUUUGUUUUUGGUCAUCCCAGUGAACUGUCACCUUUCUCUGAGUUGGCUCUAAUGCAGACAAGGCAUGGGCCUCUGUAGAUGCACAAGAAACUGUUUGAGACUCGGUGUGAUCUAAGUUUGUCAGUUAGAAUAUUUGAUUUCUUUGUCUAUCCUCAUAUCCUGAGGAUGGAGAAUAGGCUAGUUUUGCCUUACUCACCUGUGGGUCCUGAGCACAGUGUGUGACUGGUUUGUAAUGUUUUCAAUUAGUAGGUUACCCAGACCUCUCAUGUGGAUAAUGGUGGAUGUAGCUAGCAGUUGACAGAUAACCAUGUUUCUAGAAGUCAGCUGAAGUGGCUAAUGAUUGCAGAGUGAUAAUUGCCACCUCCUCUUUGCCCUUUCCUGCUUAAGCCCCACUUAGUUUUGAAUAUAUCCUGACAGCUUUUCUCAAGUGCCUCAAUCGACUUAUUUUUGUUUGUAAAAUUGACUUAUUUUAUAGGGCUUGUACAUAGAUUGGUAGUAGAGUAAUUGCCUUGCAUUUAUAAGGUCUUUGGUUUUUAUGGUAAUAUUUUAUUUGUACUGAAAUGUGAUUUUAUUUGUAUGUUAAUAAAUAAAGUUGCCUGGGGGUCAGAACUAAUAGCAAGCCGUAGCAGAAUUCUGGCAGUGGUAGCACCCGCUCUUAAUCCUGAUCACAUGACAGGCAGAUCUCUGUGUGUUCAAGGAUACCACCAGCAUGGAGACACACACCUUUAAUCUCAAUACCAACCAUAGAAGAUCUGGAGGUCUGUAUAGAUGGGCAGUGAUGAGGAGGUUAUGUGGUUGGGUUUACAACCAAUGAGAAGGCAGAACAAAAAGUCUAUAAGAAGACAGACACACAGAAAGUAGUUCUCUGGCUGAGGAGGACAGCAGCAGCAGUGAAGGGUAAGGUUUUUAGCUCUUAGUUAUUGCUCUGACCUCUUGGGCUUUUUAACUCUGAAAUCAGCUCUGUGUUUCUCAUUUUAAAAGACGGUUACAUCUACAGGUUUUAUCUUAAGGCCAAAAAAUAAAAGACAGGAAUAAAUGAAGAAUCCAAAUACAUCUGGGGUGUAGCACACAAGCAACAAACUUUUCAGCCCUCUUGCCAUCUGGUCUCCAGACAUUCCUGAACUUUCUCCAUAGACUCUAUUGCCAUAGUUGAGUGUUAAUUUCCAGUGAGAUUAAUGGUCAUGCUUUUAGUGAAGAGGCUGCUAUUUCUGAAUAAAGCACUGCUGUGAGAUGUCUUUCUCUACACUAUGAAUAUCUGUUGCUCUGAUUGGUUGAUAAAUAAAGCUGCAUUGGCCUAUGGCAAGGCAGCUUAGAGCCAGGUGAAAAUCCAAGCAGAUAGAGAAGGGAGAGGCAGAGAGACGCCAGCCUGCUGUCCAAGGAACAACAUGCCAGCAGACCAGUAAGCCAUGGAACACAUGGUAAAAUAUAGAUUAAUAGAAAUGGGUUAAUUUAAGAUGUAAGAGCUAGCAAGAAGCUUGAGCCAUAGGCCAUGGCUAUGCAAUUUGUAAUUGAUAUAAGCCUCUCUGUGUGUUUACUUGGUUCUGAGCAGGCAGCUGCCUCUGUCAUUUCCAGAAUUUUGGAAGUUGCUUACAAUGCAUUUCCUGUUUACUUAGGUGAUAUUAUAUCCUUAUGAGGUCUUUGAUGUAGUUGAAGACUAGAUAGUUAUAAUUUUUUUUGGUUAUGAUAAAAGAUAAAUUAGAUAUAAAAACUUCAACUCACAAAUAUAGAAUAGCAUAUUUUUUUUAAUUUUGCCAAGUACAAAUUGACUAGAUAUUGUAACUGUAAUUAUUGCUUGAUAACUGUUCUAUUUUAUCUAAUUUUACUAUGUUAAAGUUAAAACCUUCCAUUUUGAUUAGACAGAAAGGGGGAAGUGCUGUGGGAUGUCUUACUAUACACUGGGAAUAUGUGUUGCUCUGAUUGGUUGAUAAAUAAAGCUGUAUUGGCCUAUGGCAAGGCAGCUUAGAGGUAGGAUAAAAUCCGCAGAUAGACAGGAAGAGAAUGGAGAGGCAGAGAGAAGCCAUUCUGCCACCCAGGGAGCAGCAUGUAAUGGCACAAAGGUAAAGCCUUGGAAUGUGUGCCAACAUGUAGAUUAAUAGAAAUGGAAUGAGUUUAGUUAUAAGAGCUAGCUAGCAAGAAGCUUGAGCCAUAGGCCAUGGCCAUAAGUUUGUAAAUAAUAUUAAGCCUCUGAGUGAUUAUUUCAUAAGCAGCUGGGGGCCACAGGUGGGAGAGAUUUGUCUUGACCCCAGGGCUGGGCAGGACCAGAGAAAACUUGAGCUGGAAAGCACAGAUAUUAAACAUAAAUAUAUAAUAUAUCAAAAUUUUGUGGAUCUGGAGAAAUAGCUCAGAAGUUAAGAGUGAUCACUGGUCUUCCAAGGAGACACAGGUUCUGCUAAAUAACCCAGGUAUGGUUAGCUCACAACCUCUUAUACUCCAGUUCCAGGGGAUCCAACUUCAUCUUCUGGUUUUCAAGUGUACCCCUACACAGAUGACAUUCACUCACACAGGGAACAACAGAGCUGGGGGGAGGAGGCAAGAAUAAAAAUAAUUUUGUGGUAGUUUCAAGUUGAACUGUUUCCUUCAUGUGUUUGUUUUUUUCCCCCUUGGGUUUCUUUAGUUUCUUUAAGAGUUUUCUUGAUUUCCUCCUUUUUUUUUUGUCUUUUUUCCCAUUCUUUUAAAUAAAUUUUUCAUUUCUUUUAGGGUAUCUAUCAUCUUCAUAAUGUUGUUUUUAGGACCUCUUCCAGCUCAUCUUCUUUGAGCUGUUCAGGUCUUGCUGUUUAUGAAUCACUAGGUUCUAGUGUACCUUAUUGAUCUUUAUGUUGUUUAAUAUGUUUUUACACUGCUGUCUACCCAUUUCUUCCUUUAAUCUGUACAGGUGCAACUCCAGGUAACUCUUCCAAUUGGUGCAGGAGGGGCAUAUGGCUCCAGUGGCCUCUGGUGCUACCCAGGAUGGUUGCUGAGGGGGUUGGUGGGAAGGGGGAUGCUGCCCAGUCCCUGGGGCUGCACUGGCUGGGGGAUGGGUCAUGGAAUGUGCCACCAGGGUCUAGGUGCUAGAUAACUGGGCCUUGUAGUCCAGCAAUUGGGGUCUUACCUCUUCCCCAAUCAGUGAAUGGAAGUGGGUCACAUGUCUCCAAUGAAAUGUGGUUCCAUAGGGGUAGGGGGAAGAGGCUGCUGCCCUUUCUCUGGGGCUAUACUGGCUAGGGCUUAGGGCUAGAGAACUGUGCUUACCAGUCCAGAGAUUGGGCUUUACCUGUUCCUAAUUGAUGCAGGGGGGCAUAUGACUCCAGUGAUCAUUGGUGCUGCUAGGGAUGGGUGAGAGAAGGGCUGCCGGUAUAGGCUGUAUAGGCUUAGAUGCUGCAGAAAGCAUUUCCUCUCUCUUUCCAUCCCUUUCCUUCACUUUACAUCUAUUCUUGUGCCUCUCCCUGACAGCAGAGGCAGAGGAAAUAACAGUCAUGGAUGGAAACAAGGCAAAAGAUAAGUUGGUGUUACAUUGUUUCUGGUAGUGUUUAUUGUGGGCCUCAGUAGAGGAUGACUUUAGGCCAGCAAUUAUAGUCAACAAAAUGGGCAUAACAAACAAUUAGAGGGUUACUCCUGAGGCCACUUCCCUUUUUCUGGCCAGGAACAGAAUUUUUAUCCACAGAUCAGGUUUCCACAUGUUCUCUGAAAAGAUCUAUGGAACAAGCACUACCAACUACUCAUCCAGCUCUCCAGGCAUCACAACCCACAAGCACAUGCAUGCAUUCACAAACAUAUACAUACAUAUAUACAACUAAAAAUUCUCAGAUGGUGGCUGUUGUUUCCUGAGGGACCAGCCCUUAUAUUGAAACACUAGGCAAGCCUGAACAAAAGUAUAUGUCACCCUACCGUGCAGACAGACUCACAACAAGACAAACAGAAAGAAGAAAGUGGGGGUCCCAGCAUUUACCUGCUGAAGGGACCGAAUUUACACAACGUAGAGGGGCCUAUUCACCGAAAUAUACCGCUCAAGGGGGCUUCUCAACCAGCGCCACACAUGAGUAAAGGGAGACAAACAGACCAAAUGUCCCGAGUUUUGGCACCGGAUGUAGCAGGGUCCUUUGCUGUUGUUCCCUUUAGGGGUGGGGGCCAAGUAGGCGCAGAAUCAAACCACACAGACUCUGGGAGAAUGUCAAAAUAACAAGCUCAGUUUAUUCAGGAAGAGGCAAGCCUUAUAUACCCUCCACCCCACUCUGGGGGGAGGUCUGAUGAAUAUACAUCAGCUGGUGUGACAUGGCUGCCUCUCAUUGGUCCAGCUCAUCUCCAGAUCAUGUUUCAGCUGCUGUUGCUAAGACUAUCAGGCAGUUUUUUUGGCUCUGGUUUCAGGGCCAAAGUGUGUGUAUUUCACUGGCUCUAUUUUCAGGGUAUGUUUCUCUGGCUGGACAAUUUACCCUACACAUAGGGCUUCACAUAGUUAUAAAAUCACUUUUUCAUGAGAUUGCUGGUGCACACAAUGUAAAGAUGGCGAUCAAUCUGUUAUUGUUGACACUGUCGAAUUUUUUUUCUAUAGAAUACUCUCAGGAAACUGAUUAUAAUUGUGUUGUCUAAUGAACUUACCAAAUACUUUAUAUUAAGAAGUUCUUUCUCGCCACGCCAACCAACCCCAAUGACACCAUGGACCUCCUAAGUCAUAUGCUCCCCUGUACCGAUGAGGAACAGGUAAGGCUCAAUCUCCAGACUGGUCAGCACAGUUCUCUAGCCCCUCCCCCUACCGGGGCAGCCCAAAAGAAAGAACAGCAGCCUCCUUCCCCACCAACCAUCCCCAUUGGCAGCCGUGUCCACAAGAGCCAUAGGACCCCCUUCCAUGUACCAGUUGGGGAAGAGGUAAGACCCAGAUUGUUGGACUGGACAGCUUAGUUCUCUAGCCUUUAGGACCCAUGGGUACAUUCCUUGCCCCACCCAAGUCAGUGCAUUCCCAGAGACCUGGUAGCAGCCCUUUUCCCCCACCCCAUUACCAAGGAUCCCCUGGGGCACCAGUGACCACCAGAGCCAUAUGCCCCUCCUGCACUAAUUGGGAAGAAGAGCAACCACAGGAGCCACAGCCCCCCCCCCCCCCCGCACCAAUUGGAAGAAGAGUGACCUGGAGUACCACCUGUAUGGGUCAAAGGAAGAAAUGGAUAGACAGCAGUGUAAGAACACGAUAAAAAGGUAAAGAGCAAUACGCUACCACCAGAACCUAGUGAUCCUUCAACAGCAAGACCUGAACCUCCCAAAGCAGAUGAUCCAGAAAUAAGAGACCUUAAAAACAAGUUUAUGUAGAUGAUAGAGGCCUUGAAAGAAGAAAUAAAAAUUUUCUUAAAAGAAUAGAGGAAAAGACAAACAAAAAUUUGGAGGAAAACAAGAACUCUCUUAAAGAAACUCAAGAAACUGAAGAAAAAACAAUCAACAUGUGAAGGAAACAGUUCAAGACUUCAAAUUGAAAUAGAGGCAAUAAACAAAAACUGAAGGAAUUGUGGAAAACAAAAAUCUGAGUAAACAAACAGAAACUACAGAUGCAAGCUUAAUCGAGAGAAUAUGAGAAAUGGAAAAAAAAAGUCGGGCGGUGGUGGCGCACGCCUUUAAUCCCAGCACUUGGGAGGCAGAGCCAGGCGGAUCUCUGUGAGUUCCAGGCCAGCCUGGGCUACCAAGUGAGUUCCAGGAAAGGCACAAAGCUACACAGAGAAACCCUGUCUCAAAAAACCAAAAAAAAAAAAAAAAAAAAAAAAAAUAA